AUCAUCGAGGAGGCGACAGAGUUCUUCAAGACAAUUGGGAGUCUCAUAUUUCACUUUUAACAGUUGCAAAUUGGUGCCUUACUCAACUUUUUUUUUCCCCUUAAUUUCGUAAAGUUUAGGCCUUUUCAUAAAAUUUAAAUAAAAAGAAAUAUCUUUCUGGUAUUGGUUAGUUUUGAUCUUCAUAUUAUCUGGGUUUGGUGUUAGUGGGGAUGGCGGUGUCGCGCAAAGUUAGUAGUUCGUGGCUCACCGGAAAACCCCCUGAUUGGGCUUUAUCAGGAGGGAAUUUAUAAUGUAGUAGAUUUUCCUCAAUGCAAAGCUCAUCAUCCAAGUAUAAAUGCUGCUGUGGAGUUGCUUAAACAAGUUCCCUUUUCGGUUAUUAAAACUCAAUGUUACCUGCUUUGAUUUCCAGUUUUUGAGUCUUCUAUUUGUUUACUUGCUGCAAUUAUUCAACUUAUGCCGCUAUAAUAUUUGUUUCCUUAUGUUUUGUCCUCUGUAUUAACUACCAUUUGGAUCA